rnacentral:tRNA from 1 species
AUCAUCAUGGUCUAACUGGUAGGGCGCCCGGUCUCCAAAACCGGGAGGUGCAGGUUCGAGUCCUGCGGAUGGUGCUA